GACGAACGCUGGCGGCGUGCUUAACAUGCAAGUCGAGCGGUAAGGCCCUCGGGUACGACGAGCGGCGAACGGGUGAGUAACACGUGGGUGACCUGCCUCUAGCUCUGGGAUAAGCCUGGGAAACUGGGUCUAAUACCGGAUAUGACUCCACGGCGCAUGUUGUGGGGUGGAAAGCCUUGUGUGGCUAGAGAUGGGCCCGCGGCCUAUCAGCUUGUUGGUGGGGUGANGGCCUACCAAGGCGACGACGGGUAGCCGGCCUGAGAGGGCGACCGGCCACACUGGGACUGAGACACGGCCCAGACUCCUACGGGAGGGCAGCAGUGGGGAAUCUUGCGCAAUGGGCGAAAGCCUGACGCAGCGACGCCGCGUGAGGGAUGACGGCC
rnacentral:rRNA from 1 species